UCCUUGGUAGUCCAGUGGUUAAGACUGCACUUCCACUGCAGAGAGCACUGGUUCAAUCCCUGAUCAGGGAA
rnacentral:tRNA from 1 species